GUCUGACGAUGAACGUGAAAUGUGUGCAAGGACUAUCUACCGCACAAACAUUGACAAGAAGGUCACUCAAGCAGAUCUAAAGUUAUUCUUUGAGUCCAUAUGUGGUGAGGUUGGUCGUUCUUUACUCCAAACACAAUCUCCCUUCUGUACAGCUAAAAGUUUGCAGAAAUGGCACCAUCAAGAUCGAUCUGGAGACCAACAAGAUCAUGGACUUCAUCAAGUUUGACGUCGGCAACGUGGUCAUGGUGACCGGCGGGAGGAACACCGGGCGUGUAGGAGUGAUCAAGAACAGGGAGAAGCACAAGGGCAGCUUCGAGACCAUCCACGUGCUGUUUGGAGCUUUUUGCUAUGUCUAGUUUUCUCCUAUUUGUUGUACAGGAAAACAUAGA